rnacentral:tRNA from 1 species
GGGCAUGUAGCGUAGGGGUUAUCGCGUUUGCUUUGCAUACAGGAUGGACUCCAUAUGAAUCUGAUGUUUUGCGAAAGGUCUCCGGUUCAAAUCCGGACUUGUCCA